rnacentral:rRNA from 1 species
UACAGAGGGUGCGAGCGUUAAUCGGAAUUACUGGGCGUAAAGCGUGCGCAGGCGGUGAUGUAAGACAGAUGUGAAAUCCCCGGGCUCAACCUGGGAACUGCAUUUGUGACUGCAUGGCUGGAGUGCGGCAGAGGGGGAUGGAAUUCCGCGUGUAGCAGUGAAAUGCGUAGAUAUGCGGAGGAACACCGAUGGCGAAGGCAAUCCCCUGGGCCUGCACUGACGCUCAUGCACGAAAGCGUGGGGAGCAAACAGG